rnacentral:rRNA from 1 species
AUUGAACGCUGCGGCAGGCUUAACACAUGCAAGUCGAGCGAGCGGCGGACGGGUGAGUAAUGCUUAGGAAUCGGCCUAUUCGUGGGGGACAACAUCUCGAAAGGGAAGCUAAUACCGCUUACUAAUAGUUGAGGAUAAGUCGGAUUGGCUAGUGGUUGGGGUAAAGGUCUACCAAGGCGACGAUCUGUAGCGGGUCUGAGAGGAUGAUCCGCCACACUGGGACUGAGACACGGCCCAGAUUCCUACGGGAGGCAGCAGGGGGGAAGAUUGCACAAUGGGCGCAAGCCUGAUGCAGCCAUGCCGCGUGUGUGAAGAAGGCCUUAGGGUUGUAAAGCACUUUCAGCGGGGAGGCGUUACCCGCAGAAGAAGCACCGGCUAACUCCGUGCCAGCAGCCGCGGUAAUAC